rnacentral:rRNA from 1 species
GGGCAACCUGCCCUGUAGACUGGGAUAACUUCGGGAAACCGGAGCUAAUACCGGAUAAUCCAUUUCACCUCAUGGUGAAAUGUUGAAAGGCGCUUCGGCGUCACUACAGGAUGGGCCCGCGGUGCAUUAGCUAGUUGGUGGGGUAACGGCCUACCAAGGUAACGAUGCAUAGCCGACCUGAGAGGGUGAUCGGCCACAUUGGGACUGAGACACGGCCCAGACUCCUACGGGAGGCAGCAGUAGGGAAUCUUCCGCAAUGGACGAAAGUCUGACGGAGCAACGCCGCGUGAGUGAUGAAGGCUUUCGGGUCGUAAAACUCUGUUGUUAGGGAAGAACAAGUACGAGAGUAACUGCUCGUACCUUGACGGUACCUAACCAGAAAGCCACGGCUAACUACGUGCCAGCAGCCGCGGUAGUACGUAGGUGGCAAGCGUUAUCCGGAAUUAUUGGGCGUAAAGCGCGCGCAGGCGGUUUCUUAAGUCGUGAUGUGAAAGCCCACGGCUC